UGCCAGCCCCGCCAGUAGCAAGCCUGCUGCAAGCAGACCGCCAGCCGACUGCUGCAGGCACAUCGCUUGCGCAUGCGCCGGCGCUAUGCUGCCUGGCUGCGGCUGCGGCUGCCGCUGCAGGUGGCUGCAGGCAUGCAGAUCGAGGGCAGCAACUGUUGCUGCCCUUCCUCGCUUUUGCGUCAACGAUUUUGACGUCAAAAUUCUUCCUAAACACAAUACACGCAGUUCAAAACCAAUCAUUCGCACGAACAACCUGGCUCUGAUACCACUGUUGGGAAAUCAUUGGGGGCGACAUCAUAUGCAUUGGACCUGUUUGUCCUCAGUUACCAUGUACCUAUAGUCCCUCAUCCAUCUAAUAUCCUAGAGACCGUAUAUCGAGCAUGGUGUUGUCAGACCCAUACGGUUUCUACUCGAGUCUCGCUCUAAUCGGAUUCCCCCGGAGAACUCUUUCUCUCUCAACCCGAAUGACCCUGGCCAGGGAUUUGUCUGAGCAAGAACACAUGGGAUAUUCCUCUCAUGACGCCGAGAGUGGAUGAUCCUCUAUCGACACUCAAUAGCCCUCGUAAGGUCAACUACCACUCCCAAUGACUAGUUGUACUAGAUCUGGGGACAGCCAAACCUAUAAGUCUGGUAUCAAAGAGUGG
rnacentral:lncRNA from 1 species